GACGCUGCCCGGCGCGGUGGGGCUGUGAGCAAAACGGCCCGCCGGUGUGGUUGCCCAGACUGUGCUGGGCCCUCCUAGGUGGAUGGCCCUGCCCCAGCCUAACUUCUGUACCCCAGCAUAACCUCCAAAGUAACAGCCGUGCCCUGGGAGCCUGUUCAACACUGAACAUAUCCCACAAUAACACUGUUCCAGCGUCGCUGGUAAAAAGCAGAAAUGGCUUCGCUGGAGGCAUCGACAAAUCUAAUGCAGUAACCUCAUUUUACAGAAGAGAACUCUAAGAGGAUAACUAACUUGGCCAAGAUCACAUGAAGAAUCUCUUCCUUCUUCUACUGGUUCAUCCAUACAAAGUACAACCUACCCACAGGAAUCUCACUCAUACCAAACAUUUUCCAUCUGACUGGAAGGCUGACACCUGUUCCUGAGUGAUGUUUCUGGAUGAGAUUAGCAUUCAAAUUCGUGGACUCAUUAAAGUAGAUGGCUCUCUCCAAUAUGGGUGGGCAUCAUCCAAUCUGUUGAAGGCGUGAAGAGAACAAGAGAAGGAGGAAGGAAGAAUUCACCUUUUUUCUUGCUGCCCACCUGCUUGGGCUGGGACAUUGCAUCUCACCUUCUCCAGCCUUUGGAUGAGGAUUUACACCCUGGUUCUCAGGCCUUCAGGCUCUAACUGGAGCUACACUAUCAACUUUCCUGGGCCUCCAGAUUGCAGAUGGUGGAUCACGGUACUUUUUAGCCUCCAUCAUAAUAUGAGAAAAAAGAGGCACAGUGAAGCUAAAUAUAUUGGCUAAAGAUCACAAAGCUAUUACUAUUGGUGAGGAAUUUUGGAGUAAUUUGAUUGGGUGUUCUGGCUCAAGGGUCUCUUAUGAGUUUGCAGUCAGAUGUCAGCUGUGGCUACAUCAUCUGGACACAUGACUGAGGGUGGAACAUUCAAUUUCAAGGUAUCUCACUCAUAUGGCUGGUAAGUUGGUUCUGGCUGUUGGCUAAGAGUCUCAAUUUCUGGCCACAUGGGCCACUCCAUGAGGCUGCUUGAGUGUCCUCUCAACAUGGUGUCUGGAUCUUUGGAUUACAAAAGACUAAUGUGGAAUCUGCAAUGCCAUUUAUAAUUUAUCCUUGAAAGUUCACACACUUCUGCUGUACAAACUUCUGUUCUUACCCGUGACUCUUUUGUCAAGCUGUGUCUUGAUAAAUUGUAACACUUUUGAGUCUUUGAAGAAAGUGAUCUGUUUUUAGUGUGGGUACUUUAUAUUGAUCUCAAACACUUGUAGCAUAAUACUGGGAAGAUAAUGAGUCACUGAGUUUUAAAUCAUUACUUGAGUAAUGUUAAUGAACAUCUUUUGGGGUAUGUAUUUGAAUGCCAACUAGUUAUUGACUAUCCAAAAAGUGGUUUUCCUUGGU
rnacentral:lncRNA from 1 species